rnacentral:rRNA from 1 species
GCAUAUCAAUAAGCGGAGGAAAAGAAACCAACAGGGAUUGCCCUAGUAACGGCGAGUGAAGCGGCAACAGCUCAAAUUUGAAAUCUGGCGCAAGCCCGAGUUGUAAUUUGUAGAGGAUGCUUCUGGGUAGCGGCCGGUCUAAGUUCCUUGGAACAGGACGUCACAGAGGGUGAGAAUCCCGUAUGUGAUCGGCGCGCGCCCUCUACGUAGCUCCUUCGACGAGUCGAGUUGUUUGGGAAUGCAGCUCUAAAUGGGAGGUAAAUUUCUUCUAAAGCUAAAUACUGGCCAGAGACCGAUAGCGCACAAGUAGAGUGAUCGAAAGAUGAAAAGCACUUUGGAAAGAGAGUUAAAAAGCACGUGAAAUUGUUGAAAGGGAAGCGCUUACAACCAGACUUGCGGGUGGUGUUCCGCCGGGCUUCUGCCCGGUCUACUCGCCGCUCGCAGGCCAUCAUCGUCUGGGGCCGCCGGAGAAACCGUCAGGAAUGUGGCUCCCUCGGGAGUGUUAUAGCCUGUCGACAUGCGGCGUGCCCCGGGCGAGGUCCGCGCACUGCAAGGAUGAUGGCGUAAUGGUUGUCAGCGGCCCGUCUUGAAACACGGACCAAGGAGUCUAACAUCUAUGCGAGUGUUCGGGUGUCAAACCCCUACGCGUAAUGAAAGUGAACGGAGGUGGGAGCUUCGGCGCACCAUCGACCGAUCCUGAUGUCCUCGGAUGGAUUUGAGUAAGAGCAUAGCUGUUGGGACCCGAAAGAUGGUGAACUAUGCCUGAAUAGGGUGAAGCCAGAGGAAACUCUGGUGGAGGCUCGCAGCGGUUCUGACGUGCAAAUCGAUCGUCAAAUUUGGGUAUAGGGGCGAAAGACUAAUCGAACCAUCUAGUAGCUGGUUCCUGCCGA